GACGAACGCUGGCGGCGUGCUUAACACAUGCAAGUCGAACGGAAAGGCCCUGCUUUUGUGGGGUGCUCGAGUGGCGAACGGGUGAGUAACACGUGAGUAACCUGCCCUUGACUUUGGGAUAACUUCAGGAAACUGGGGCUAAUACCGGAUAGGAGCUCCUGCUGCAUGGUGGGGGUUGGAAAGUUUCGGCGGUUGGGGAUGGACUCGCGGCUUAUCAGCUUGUUGGUGGGGUAGUGGCUUACCAAGGCUUUGAAGGGUAGCCGGCCUGAGAGGGUGACCGGCCACAUUGGGACUGAGAUACGGCCCAGACUCCUACGGGGGGAAGCAGUGGGGAAUAUUGCACAAUGGGCGGAAGCCUGAUGAAGCAACGCCGCGUGCGGGAUGACGGCCUUCGGGUUGUAAACCGCUUUCGCCUGUGACGAAGCGUGAGUGACGGUAAUGGGUAAAGAAGCACCGGCUAACUACGUG
rnacentral:rRNA from 1 species